CCCUCCCCUCUUCCAGAGUUUUCUGGGAUCACUUAUCAUAUAAGCCACUUGUACUCAGAACCUUGUCUUAGGAUCUGAGAUUCUGGGGAAACCAACCAAAGCUCUGUAGGACAUAUCAUUUAUUCAGAAUGGAAGGCUGGGACAGAUCCCACCCAGGACUCCCUGACUGCCCAGCCCAUGACUUUGAUCUCUGAGUUGUAUGAGUGACCUUCAGAAAGUGAGAAGCAAGAUCCCAGUAUUCCCUUCUCAUGCUGGGGCAGUGCUGAGAGGAGAGAGAUUUGUCCAGAAUCACCCUAUGACUUAGGAGUGUUCUUAGCUCUGGAUCUAGGACGACUUUACCCCCAAAGGCUCCUGGAUGGGACUAUGGGAGAGACAGAUUUAGCAUUAAGCAUUAUUUUAAUAGAUAAACUAAAUGCAUAAGGUCCUACCUUCUCCCUGAGGUGAAAUCAACUUGAUUUUGGU
rnacentral:lncRNA from 10 species